rnacentral:rRNA from 1 species
GAUUAACGCUGGCGGCGUGCAUAACACAUGCAAGUCGAACGAUGAAACUUAGUAGACUUCUUCGGAAAGACACUAAGCGGAUUAGUGGCGAACGGGUGAGUAACGCGUGAGUAACCUGCCUUACACAAGGGGAUAGCCUUUGGAAACGAAGAAUAAUACCCUAUAAAACCAUAAAAGCACAUGCUAGAAUGGUCAAAGUGAUAGCGGUGUAAGAUGGACUUGCGUCUGAUUAGCUAGUUGGUGAGAUAAAAGCUCACCAAGGCAACGAUCAGUAGCCGGCUUGAGAGAGUGUACGGCCACAUUGGGACUGAGACACGGCCCAGACUCCUACGGGAGGCAGCAGUGGGGAAUUUUGCACAAUGGGGGAAACCCUGAUGCAGCGACGCCGCGUGAUUUAGAAGGCCUUCGGAUUGUAAAAAUCUUUUGUAUAGGAAGAAAAUGACAGUACUAUACGAAUAAGGUCCGGCUAAUUACGUG